CAGCAGCCGCGGUAAUACGUAGGGUGCGAGCGUUGUCCGGAAUUACUGGGCGUAAAGAGCUCGUAGGCGGUUUGUCACGUCGUCUGUGAAAUCCUAGGGCUUAACCCUGGACGUGCAGGCGAUACGGGCUGACUUGAGUACUACAGGGGAGACUGGAAUUUCUGGUGUAGCGGUGGAAUGCACAGAUAUCAGGAAGAACACCGAUGGCGAAGGCAGGUCUCUGGGUAGUAACUGACGCUGAGGAGCGAAAGCAUGGGUAGCGAACAGGAUUAGAUACCCCCGUAGUCCCUGUCUCUUAUAC
rnacentral:rRNA from 1 species